UUAACCCUUCGGGGAGGGCGUUUACCACGGUGUGGUUCAUGACUGGGGUGAAGUCGUAACAAGGUAGCCCUAGGGGAACCUGGGGCUGGAUCACCUCCUUACCUAAAGA
rnacentral:rRNA from 1 species